rnacentral:sRNA from 1 species
CUUGGUCAUUUAGAGGAAGUAAAAGUCGUAACAAGGUUUCCGUAGGUGAACCUGCGGAAGGAUCAUUACUAGAGCAAAGGAUAGACAGCGCCCGCGGAGCUUGCUCCCUGGGGCUACCCUACUUCGGUAGGGUUUAGAGUCAUCGGGCCUCUCGCAGAAGCUCGGUCCUGAACUCCACCCUUGAAUAAAUUACCUUUGUUGCUUUGGCGGGCCGCCUCGUGCCAGCGGCUUCGGCUGUUGCGUGCCCGCCAGAGGACCACAACUCUUGUUUUUAGUGAUGUCUGAGUACUAUAUAAUAGUUAAAACUUUCAACAACGGAUCUCUUGGUUCUGGCAUCGAUGAAGAACGCAGCGAAAUGCGAUAAGUAAUGUGAAUUGCAGAAUUCAGUGAAUCAUCGAAUCUUUGAACGCACAUUGCGCCCUCUGGUAUUCCGGGGGGCAUGCCUGUUCGAGCGUCAUUAUAACCACUCAAGCUCUCGCUUGGUAUUGGGGUUCGCGGUCUCGCGGCCCCUAAAAUCAGUGGCGGUGCCUGUCGGCUCUACGCGUAGUAAUACUCCUCGCGAUUGAGUCCGGUAGGUUUACUUGCCAGCAACCCCUAAUUUUUACAGGUUGACCUCGGAUCAGGUAGGGAUACCCGCUGAACUUAAGCAUAUCAAUAAGCGGAGGAAAAGAAACCAACAGGGAUUACCUCAGUAACGGCGAGUGAAGCGGUAACAGCUCAAAUUUGAAAGCUGGCUCUUUUAGGGUCCGCGUUGUAAUUUGUAGAAGAUGCUUCGGGUGUAGCUCCGGUCUAAGUUCCUUGGAAACAGGACGUCAUAGAGGGUGAGAAUCCCGUAUGUGACUGGGUGCUUUCGCUCAUGUGAAGCUCUUU